GUGCUUGCUUCCGCAGCGCAUAUACUAAAAUUGGAACGAUGCAGAGAAGAUUAACAUGGCCUCUGCACAAGGAUGGCACACAAAUUCUUGAAGUGUUCCAUAUUUUA
rnacentral:snRNA from 1 species